UUUGAAGUUUUUAUUGAUUCCAGCUUUAAAAAGCGAUGUUCCCAGUGGACAAUGUGGCUAUGGUUACAUUUAUUGCAGCAGAACGUAAGAACUUGAAAGCUUCUUCUUAAAAGGUUGAAAAGAAGACAAUUUUGUCUUCCUUCAUAUCAUCAAGUUUAAUUAUUGGCAUUAAGUCCCAGUUGGCAAGAACAGCAUGUCACAUGGAUCCAUUUCUGUCUCAGGAAAGCCUCCAGACACUGUGGCAGGACACUGAAUACAGAAGAGCAGCCAGGAGUGUGACCUUUGCUUCCAUCAAUAUUGACUGCAGAGAAAGGAAGUGAAUCACCAUAAUACAGUAUCUCUAACUCCUUGAAUCUGCAGCUGGUCCAGAAGGAUACCAUGACUAAAGAUCCUCUCUGGGAUUUUAGGAAUGUUGAGACGUGCUAGUUACAAAGCCCUAAAUGCAACAUGGUCACGGAUGGCUAGAACGAGGCAUGUUCUAAUGGAAACAAAUCACUUGUCAGUAAGGAGCCUUCAAACCCUGAACAAAAGCUCCGAAAAAGGCAUGUUUGUUGGCGUUAAAAAAAUUGUCUGGAAGCAAGUCUGCAACACAAAAAAAUUUCACAAUUAUUUAAUGUCAAAUAAUGGCUGACUAGCUGACAGGAAGAUGGUACCCAUCAGAUAUUGCAAAAGAUCAGAUAGCUUGGGUAUUUAUGUCACUAUUUUCAACCAGACAAUCUAAGUUUCAGUUCUUUGUUGUGCACCCACCCCUCUCCUAGAAGAAUGAAAUAUUCUAGGAAAUAUUAA